rnacentral:rRNA from 1 species
UCACGAAAUGGUUGGAGCUAAUUAUAUAUAAUUAAUAGAUUAUACUCCGUGUGUAGCAUAAUAUGGUAUAAAAAUAUAAUUAGGUGUGAUAGGCUUAUCAAAGACCAGAAUAUCUUGAUAGCGCUUAAACGUAUUAAGUACGGAAAACAAAUAUAAAGUGUUUAGGCUUUAUAUAACUUUAAAAUAGAUUUCGGGAUGANAUGGUUUAAUCGUCUUUAAAUUUAUCACACUAAUAUUAAUUUUCCUCUAAUUAAUAAGAUGUACGUGCUUCUAUUAUAAUAAAGGUGUGUAGUAAUAAUGUUACUAUAAGUAUUAAUUAAGGCGUUUAUAAUGAACUCGGCAACAAAUAUUCUCGACUGUUUAUCAAAAACAUAGCUGUAUGUAAUUAAUAUAUAGUUAUUUCUGCUCAAUGUAAUAUAAAUGGCCGCGGUACUCUGACUGUGCAAAGGUAGCAUAAUCANUUGGCUUAUAAUUGAAGUCUAGUAUGAAUGAAAAUAUGGGGAUAGACUGUAUAAUAAACGUUCAUUUGAAAUUACUUAAUAAGUGAAAAGACUUAUAUUUAAAUAAUAGACGAGAAGACCCUAGAAAUUUUAAGGAAUUAUAACAUAUAUAGGUUUUUGUUGGGGCGACACGGUAGCAGNACAACCUACUAAGGUGAAUAUGAUUAUUGUAUUAGGAAUAAUUAAAUUACUCUAGGGAUAACAGCAUAAUAUUUUAAAGUUUGUGACCUCGAUGUUGGACUAGGAUACUACAACCCAGAAGGUUAAUAGUNAGGCUCUGUUCGAGCGAAUUAUUCCUACAUGAUCUGAGUUCAGACCGGCGUAAGCCAGGUCAGUUUCU